CCCCGCGCCGCCGCCGCCGCACGCAGCGCCCGGGCCGGCCCGGCCGGAGACGCCACCUGGUACUGCCGGCCGCGGGGGGUGGCCGCGGGAGACGGGUCCCUGCUGGCGGCCGGGGCGCUGUGGGAGCCUUCCCCCCAACCCCGGAUUAUGUUUUUAUCCGUCUUGUUUGGGUCUAUUUAUUUAUUUAUUUAUUCUGCCUGAAGUGCCGGGAUUUGCCGGCGGAGCACAAAUAAAUGGGCCCCCUUCUUAGGCGUCCGUAGGUGCCGCAUCCGUCACAUGCAGUUCCCGAGCACUGCGAAGUCUACAUUAAAACGUGCUGGAAAACGUCUGCUCCGGCUGUARUAGUAAUAGCGAUAAUAAUAAAAUGACAGAACGGGGAGCGAUUUACAUGCUGUUGAAGGGGAGGAAUUGCUGGAGAGUAAUAAUAGAAAAGAAAACAAGUCGGAAGCCCGUUAUAUAAUGCACUAUGUAGAUAACGAGAACGACGGGCUAUUUUUAUUUUGUUUACCGUAUGCUGUGUAAUAGGGACUCCUGCAAGCAGCAUCUCUCCCCUGCGAGCCUGAACUCCAGGCAGAAUUAGCAAAAAUUAUAAGGCAUUCCUGUUAUGCCCACACGGAGAGAGCUAGCUGAGUAAAACGUUUCUCCUUACAGAUGUAUUUUGUGGACAAAUCAGGAAUUGUGCAGUCACGUUGCAGGCCAAACCAGAUGGGCAAGCAAUACAAGCUGUGAAUUUAUUCUUGAUCCCUGUAGGACAGUGACCACCUCCGUUUUUACCAUCACCGUACAGAUAUGCACUGUCAAUAAGUCCCUUUCAAGCGUUUCAAGUGAACAGGCUGAGGCGUACCGUGUUCUGAGGACCCUGAUUCAGCAAAGCACUUUAACCAUACGGACAAGCUCCACUGGAGAUCCUGGAGCACAAGGAAAGAGUUUUAAUAUAAAACAUCAGAAAAAAACACGCUGCAACAUCUCGUGUGAGAGAGAGAGAGAGGGAAAAAAAGGAGACUUACAAUUACAUCUUGAAACACUCAUAUGAUUUGAGCAGCCUUCUUGUUCCUCUCUGAGGAAGCUCACAUUGAAGUUCAGGGAAGGUAUCUUCAUAGCAUCAGCGUGGCCUUUGUAAUCAUUUGAUCAGCUUUCUGUUGUAGUCACAAAAUUGUUGAGUCUUAUUUGAGAGUGGAGUAGCUUAUUGGCAGAGUAUUAGAGAAAGGGAAGUUUUUUGGUGACGAG
rnacentral:lncRNA from 1 species